GCUUACGGCCAUACCACCCUGAGCACGCCCGAUCUCGUCUGACCUCGGAAACUAAGCAGUGUCGGGCCUGGUUAGUACUUGGAUGGGAGACUGCCUAGGAAUACCAGGGGCUAUAAGCU
rnacentral:rRNA from 1 species